UCCUGGCUUAGGAUGAACGCUAGCGGCAGGCUUAACACAUGCAAGUCGAGGGGCAGCGGGAUGUAGCAAUACAUUGCCGGCGACCGGCGGAUGGGUGCGUAACGCGUAUGCAACCUACCUUAUACAGGGGAAUAACCUUUCGAAAGGGAGACUAACACCCCAUAGUAUUGAUUUAAGGCAUCUUAGAUUAAUUAAAUAUUUAUAGGUAUAAGAUGGGCAUGCGUAUGAUUAGCUAGUUGGUAAGGUAACGGCUUACCAAGGCGACGAUCAUUAGGGGUUCUGAGAGGAAGGUCCCCCACACUGGUACUGAGACACGGACCAGACUCCUACGGGAGGCAGCAGUGAGGAAUAUUGGUCAAUGGGCGCAAGCCUGAACCAGCCAUGCCGCGUGCCAGGAAGACGGCCUUAUGGGUUGUAAACUGCUUUUACAUAAGACUAACCGUAUAUUUGCGAAUAUACCUGAAUGUAUUAUGAGAAUAAGGAUCGGCUAACUCCGUGCCAGCAGCCGC
rnacentral:rRNA from 1 species